UACGUAGGUGGCAAGCGUUGCCCGGAUUUAUUGGGCGUAAAGGGCGCGUAGGCGGCUCUGCACGUUCGUUGUGAAAUCGCUCGGCUCAACUGGGCGGGGUCAGCGGAUACGGCGUGGCUAGAGCAAGCUAGGGGGCAAUGGAAUUCCCGGUGUAGCGGUGAAAUGCGCAGAUAUCGGGAGGAACACCAAUGGCGAAGGCAGCUCGCUGGGACGGUACUGACGCUGAGGCGCGAAAGCGUGGGGAGCAAACAGGG
rnacentral:rRNA from 1 species